CUGGAAUAUGAAGGCACCAAACUUCAAACGCCUUCCCAACAGCUUUAUGGUGCAAAGUAAGUCCCAAGCCAACACCAUCCAUCCCUGGUAAAAACAGAAGAGUUGGCGAAUUUUUUCGAGGCUUCCCACACUCAAGGGGACAAAACCACCGAGGCGGUCCUCCAUCAGGCCUAAUAAUCUCCUUGGCAACAUCAAGAUAAUCCUUCACAGUCUUGGUACCAUAUCCAUCAUCCCACAACAAUUCCAAAUCUUUUGAAACAUCUUUC
rnacentral:misc_RNA from 1 species